AAGAGGCAAGAGGUAGCAACAGCGAGCGUGCCGGUCGCUACUCGCGGGUCCCCGAGUGAGCGCGCCAGGGAGCAGGAGACCAAGCGACGGAAGUCGGAGUCAGAGUCCCAGUCGGAAUCCCCGGACCGGAGCACGAGCCUGAGCGGGAGAGCGCCGCUCGCACGCCCGUCGCCACCCGCGUACCCGGCGCAGCCAGAGCCACCAGCGCAGCGCUGCCAUGGAGCCCAGCAGCAAGAAGCUGACGGGUCGCCUCAUGCUGGCCGUGGGAGGAGCAGUGCUUGGCUCCCUUCAGUUUGGCUACAACACUGGAGUCAUCAAUGCCCCCCAGAAGGUGAUCGAGGAGUUCUACAACCAGACAUGGGUCCACCGCUAUGGGGAGCGCAUCCUGCCCACCACGCUCACCACGCUCUGGUCCCUCUCGGUGGCCAUCUUUUCUGUUGGGGGCAUGAUUGGCUCCUUCUCUGUGGGCCUUUUCGUUAACCGCUUUGGCCGGUAAGUAGGAGAGGUCCUGGCACUGCCCUUGGAGGGCCCAUGCCCUCCUGCCCAGGGAGUCCCAGAUGGGGUGGGAGGUAGGGGAG
rnacentral:sRNA from 1 species